AUUGUGUUUUUUUUGUCUACAGGUGUUAAAAAACAAGCCAGACUUUCGUCGGAAGCCUUGGGCAAACAUUACUCCAAGUGCUAAAGAUUUUGUACAGAAGUUACUAGUUAAGGAUCCCCGUGCAAGACUAACUGCUGCUCAGGCAUUAUCACAUGAAUGGGUCAGAGAAGGAGGGCAGGCAUCUGAAAUACCCCUGGACAUAUCAGUAUUGCAUAAUAUGCGACAGUUUGUGAAAUACAGUCGUUUCAAACAGUUUGCUUUAAGGGCAUUAGCAUCUACAUUAAAUCCAGAAGAACUGUCUGAUCUUCGUGACCAGUUCAAUGCCAUUGAUAUUGACAAGAGUGGAACGAUUAGCCUGGAAGAACUGAAGCAGGUAGAUAUUGUUGGUAUUUUUUGCUUCAUUAGUUGACUGUUUUACUAAUAUCUUUUCUUCCUACUUAUAAAGGUUGGAGUUGGUGGGCGAGUUCAUGUAGGACCAACACAAAUAAACAAAUGCACUUUUACACACAUGGGACUAGAACCUUCGAAGAGAUAUAAAUAAACAAAUGCACUUUUACUCACAUGUCAGACCUACCACAAAUAAACAAAUACACUAUACUAAUUUAAUGUGAGCACCAGUCUUGUGAGAAACACAAGUAGCAAAUGCAGAAAUGUGACUCGAACUCAAAAUCAUGCUCUUGGUUUUAGUUUCUCUUCCCAUCCAAUUUCUUCCAAUUAUACAUCAACUGCAGAGAGAUCUUUCGUCAUAUUUGUGCUCUCUUUUGAUCUUGAAUAGUGCAACAGCAGCAAGACACCAAUGCCUUUUGAUGAUCUCCUAAGAGCAUCUCCAAUAGCUGCCCUAUAAUAGGGCAUAAUCGAUUUUUAGGGCAUUUGGGUACAAAAUCGCUGCUCCAACAGCUGCCCUUGUUGUAAAAUUUGCUCGAAAUUCUUUUGGACAGCCCAAAAAAACAGCACCAAGUGCUGCAAAUAUAAAGCACUUCGGCUGCUGCCACAAAACGGAACGAGUUGCGCGUGCAGCCCCAACCGCCAAUUAAAGUUCCUCCAGUCGCACACUCCUCUCGGCCCCCUCUUUCCCGCCGCCGUUGCCAGCUGAUUCCGGCUAGAUCCGACGCCUCACCGCCCCCUCACCGGCCCGGCUCCCCCUCAGCUUCCCCUACCGAUUCCCCUCCGCCACCGGCCAUCCCCGCCACCCCGGCGAGCUCCUCCGCCUGCGCUCCCCCUGCGCGUGGCGCGGGAGCAUGCGUGAAUCAAUCCCGUCGGCUGUGCCCGCGAGCACCCGUCCGCUGCGGUGCAGCAGAAAGUCCCCGUGCAGCCAAUGCCCUUCUGCCACAUCCCCCGAUGCAGCGGCCUCACGCCACGCACGGCGGAGGCCUUGCACGCCGACAUUGUCCGCGUAAGCUGCAGGUGGAGUAGCAAGUUGUGCGGCUCGCACUCGUCCAUGUGGCCGCAUGAGCUGCAGGUGAAGCUGCAGAUUUGUCUUAGGCGGUGACCGCGGCGAGCUCCAGCUCCCCUCCGCCCACGUGGAUCCAGCUCCAGGCUGCAGCAGCACCAACGCCGACACGUCUGGCGGCCUCCGACGAGGUGUGGCUGCACGAGAAGAUGCGUUGACCGCUGAUCUCGUUUUGCCUUCUCCCAAUCUGAAGCAACACUGAUUCAGGUCAUGCAGAAUCAAAUGAGCUGAUUCAUCAACGCUGAUUCAGUUCGUCAAAUUAUUGCUACACCAAGUAGGAGAUAACCUGGCAGCUAAUCCCUCUAGCUUGUCGUCAGAUGCCAAUCACAUGUGGCUUAAUCAAGAGGACGGCAAUUGUAUAAAUUGUCGCCAAGGAAUACAAGGUACUGAAUGUGAUCCACCUCCUCAUCCAUCGAGCUGAUAAGUAGUAGUUAAUCGGGGUGAAUAAAACUAGUGAAUUUUAUG